AAGAAUAAUGUGAAAAUGGGCACGGUGUGCAGGUUAAAAAUCGACUUCUGGGAAAUAUACCCAGAGAAAGAGCAUGCAUUGGUUUUGAAAUAGGACGACCUGAAGCCUUUACGAUAGGAAGAUUAAAAACGAUCUC
rnacentral:sRNA from 1 species